AUACCUUUCUCGGCCUUUUGGCUAAGAUCAAGUGUAGUAUCUGUUCUUAUCAGUUUAAUAUCUGAUAUGUGGACCAAUGGUCCACACGAUAUUAAAUUAAUUUUUUAAAGGGGAAGAUCUACACCAAUAGCUUGCUAUUGAGAUCUUCAUGUGUCGCCCUUGUGUUGCACUAAAACAUGGGCUUGGCACACCCUAC
rnacentral:snRNA from 1 species